rnacentral:misc_RNA from 1 species
CUCAAUUCCAUCGGCUCCCCCAAUUCCAAAUGAGGUUUUAAAUGAUGGGCCAAUCCACUAUCCAAUAGUUGAUUUUAGUCCAGUGGAUUCAUUUGUUCCACCUGUAGAGCAUGGAACUUCUGUAACAAGUGAUGUGAAGGAUGGAGCUGGCUCUUCAUCAUGUAUAAUAUGUUGGGAAUCUCCCAUAGAAGGUGCAUGCAUUCCUUGUGGUCACAUGGCUGGUUGCAUGGCUUGUUUGAGCGAGAUCAAAGCCAAGAAAGGUGUUUGCCCUGUUUGCAGAGCAAAAAUAAGCCAAGUUAUAAGGCUAUAUGCUGUCUGAAAAGUGGACAUGAUUAUACUGG